rnacentral:rRNA from 1 species
UGGCUCAGGACGAACGCUGGCGGCGUGCCUAAUACAUGCAAGUCGAGCGGAUCUUCUCCUUCGGGAGAGGGUUAGCGGCGGACGGGUGAGUAACACGUAGGUAACCUGCCUGCAAGACCGGGAUAACAUUCGGAAACGAAUGCUAAGACCGGAUACGCAAGAGAGGGGCAUCUCUYUYUUGGGAAACACGGGGCAACCUGUGGCUUGCGGAUGGGCCUGCGGCGCAUUAGCUAGUUGGUGGGGUAACGGCCUACCAAGGCGACGAUGCGUAGCCGACCUGAGAGGGUGACCGGCCACACUGGGACUGAGACACGGCCCAGACUCCUACGGGAGGCAGCAGUAGGGAAUCUUCCACAAUGGGCGCAAGCCUGAUGGAGCAACGCCGCGUGAGUGAGGAAGGCCUUCGGGUCGUAAAGCUCUGUUGCCAGGGAAGAAUAAGGGUGAGGUAACUACUCACGCGAUGA